rnacentral:rRNA from 1 species
GAUGAACGCUGGCGGCGUGCCUAAUACAUGCAAGUCGAGCGAACAGACGAGGAGCUUGCUCCUCUGACGUUAGCGGCGGACGGGUGAGUAACACGUGGAUAACCUACCUAUAAGACUGGGAUAACUUCGGGAAACCGGAGCUAAUACCGGAUAAUAUAUUGAACCGCAUGGUUCAAUAGUGAAAGACGGUUUUGCUGUCACUUAUAGAUGGAUCCGCGCCGCAUUAGCUAGUUGGUAAGGUAACGGCUUACCAAGGCAACGAUGCGUAGCCGACCUGAGAGGGUGAUCCGGCACACCUGAACUGAGACACGGUCCAGACUCCUAAGGGAGGCAGCAGUAGGGAAUCUUCCGCAAUGGGCGAAAGCCUGAAGGAGCCAACCCGGGUGGGUGAAGAAGGUUUUCGGGUUGUAAAACCCUUUUAUUAGGGAAGAACAAAUGUGUAAGUAACUAUGCACGUCUUGACGGUACCUAAUCAGAAAGCCACGGCUAACUACGUG